CGUAAUUUUGUCCCUCCGAAAGAUAUUUUCGCCUAUUUACCUUAUGCUAUCGUGUACCCUCAAACAUGUAAUUAUCCCUCUAUAAAAUGACAAAAAAUAACAACCCUUAACAAAUUUUACCUUGUUUUAAUCAUAUCCUAACAACCCCUCCAAUUAAAAUUGACAACACAUCACCACCCCCAUACCCCCUCACCCCUACUCACGUACACCUCCUCACCUCUACUCACGCGCACCCCAUACCCCACCCCAUUUUUAUCACAUUUUCCUUUUUCAUUUUUGGGAGGAGGAAUUCUUCACCAACCUUCACAAUAUACACACUGCAAUGAGAGUCCAGAGAAAAGUGAAAAACCAGUGAAAGAAAAGGGGGAGGGACUCAACUUUCCUCUUCUUCCACACAGAUCCUCCAUACGCAUACACUGACCAAACACAAAAGGCCCUAUUUUUCCAUUUUUUAGGUAGAGACAGAAAUAGAAAGGGGGGAGAAUAAGAAAACGGGAAGAGAGGAGAGGACCAUUGUCGUCUUCCUUCUUUUCUGGGAAAGCUCCAAAACGCCAUAAAUACACAUACACUUACACAUAUUGACACAUACACAGCUCAUCUGAAACACACAUACAGAGCAUGGGAUACACACACUCAUCUGGUCGAGAGGGAGAGAUUGGGCAAUUAAGAGAUAGUGAGAAGAGAGAAAAGAUGUGAGGGAGAGAGGUAGAGAAAACAAGAGAGAGAGGGAACACGACGGUAAAGGUUGGCUGGUCUUUGGGUUUUUUGGUAAAAUUUCUCGCCGGAAUCGGCGUUCCCUUAUCAAAUCCGACCACCUGUAGACCCAAAAAUCCAUGAAUCCUCUUCGUCUCUAGUUCUCCGAUGACAUAUCGCCGAAAAUAUCAUCUUUGCUGACUGCUAGGAUUUGCCGGUGCUCCGACGAGUUUGAAUCUCAUCGAAAAUAGCAAAGUCGAAGUCCAAAUCAAUAAACCCACAAUCGAGUCCGAGUAGAGUCAAGUUCGAGAUCGAAGUUGUUGAUUUGGGUUCGUGCUGAGGUUUUUGAUUUGAGGUUUCGAUGCGGACUCCAUCUCAUUCGAAUAAUAUUUGAGUUCGAAAGCGAUAUUAAGGACCCUCCUGAAAAAUGAAACUUUUUCUUAUGGUCACAAAGUUAUUGCGACUGAGUUUGACCCCAACGCACUCCGUACAAGAUAUGCUGCACUUUUGUGUGACUAUGGGAUCCGAAAACAAGAAGCAAAUGUCAUUAGUGAUGUCGAAGCACCAUUGAGGCUUGCAAGGCAAAAUAGAAUAACUAGUGUCACUGAAGUUGUUGAUGUAUGAUGGUUGAUGGAUUUUUGACUUUUUGUAUUUUAGAAACUAGUUUAUGGAUGUAGGUUUUGAUUGUACAGACUACUUUUUAUGUUUUGAAUUGGUUCUAUUUCAUGGAGUUCUACCAUUUAC